CCCCCCCCCUUAAAGACCGCGAUAAUCCUGCUCUAAAGGUUUUCCCAAGCUAGGUGGUGUGUAAGAAGAAGAGAUGGUCGCAAGAAGAGACCAAGAGCCUUCUCUUUCACACUACUUGCUUUUGUGUACUCGUAAACGACUUUGAUUUGCAAGUUGGUAACAGUUCAUUUUCCUGGUCCAAUGAACAUGAACAAGAAGACAAUACCAAAGGAUAUUGUAAUAACGAUUCUCUAUGUUAAAAAUUCGUAUUCUCAGAUUCUUUCUGG
rnacentral:lncRNA from 1 species